GAUGAACGCUGGCGGCGUGCCUAAUACAUGCAAGUCGAGCGAACAGACGAGGAGCUUGCUCCUCUGACGUUAGCGGCGGACGGGUGAGUAACACGUGGAUAACCUACCUAUAAGACUGGGAUAACUUCGGGAAACCGGAGCUAAUACCGGAUAAUAUAUUGAACCGCAUGGUUCAAUAGUGAAAGACGGUUUUGCUGUCACUUAUAGAUGGAUCCGCGCCGCAUUAGCUAGUUGGUAAGGUAACGGCUUACCAAGGCAACGAUGCGUAGCCGACCUGAGAGGGUGAUUCGCCACACUGGAACUGAGAAAAGGUCCAGACUCCUAAGGGAGGCAGCAGUAGGGAAUCUUCCGCAAUGGGCGAAAGCCUGACGGAGCAACGCCGCGUGAGUGAUGAAGGUCUUCGGAUCGUAAAACUCUGUUAUUAGGGAAGAACAAAUGUGUAAGUAACUAUGCACGUCUUGACGGUACCUAAUCAGAAAGCCACGGCUAACUACGUG
rnacentral:rRNA from 1 species